rnacentral:tRNA from 1 species
GGAGGUAGUUCAGUGGUAUAGUGCUUGUUUGGCAUGCAUGUGGCCCUGGGUUCCAUCCCCAGCACCCCCCA